CCCUUAGAUGUUCUGGGCCGCACGCGCGCUACACUGAUACAUUCAACGAGUUUCUUCCUGGUCCGAGAGGAAUGGGUAACCUUUUGAAAGUGCAUCGUGAUAGGGAUAGACUAUUGCAAUUAUUGGUCUUCAACGAGGAAUUCCUAGUAGACGUAGUUCAUCAGACUGCAUCGAUUACGUCCCUGCCCUUUGUACACACCGCCCGUCGCUACUACCGAUUGAACGGUUUAGUGAGGGCCUCGGAUUGGUCUCGGCCCGCUCUUUACCGGGCGGCGCCGUUGGUCGAGAAGACGCUCGAACUUGAUCGUUUAGAGGAAGUAAAAGUCGUAACA
rnacentral:rRNA from 1 species